GACGGAAAAGGUGUAGGACUGAUUCUUCAGGGACUUCCAGAUGCAAAAAUUGCAAUGAUAACCAGAUGGAUGCAAAUAAAUACAGAGGCACUCAGAAUUCCUGACAUCAACUGAAUCUAAACUGACAGAACAGAUUUCCUUCUCAUUUGUUUUUGCUUGAAACAGUGGUGCUUACUAGCACUUUUGGGAAAGCACUCAGUAAAUACAGAAGGCUGAAAAAGUAUUGUCUACUUUGGCUUUAAUUACAACAAAUGCAUAAGUAAAUAAAUAAAUUCAUUAAGAAGUCUGGUCCUGUAGAUAGUUUCUACUAAGAAAAGCAGGGUUACAAUCUGAAAGAAAGAACAACCUUUCCCAGCAUAUAUAGUAAAAUAAAACAUCCAUUCUUCCAUUCAUCUUUUCUUAGCAAUAAUGUACCGUUACUCAUGGCUUGCAUUUACCUAUCAAAAGCGUAAAUGGAUUAAGCCCACAAAUGCUUCCCAGAACUCCAAACUAAAUAGAAGGCUCAGGAAACAUCGGGAGGCAGCCCCAACUUCCACCAACACCGAUCAGUUCAGGAAUUUUCUGUCAAACAGCGUACAACUCGCUCAGCAAUAAAUCCACUUGCCCUUAUUUCCAAUAUCCUACCCUGUUUUACUUCCCAGGAAAACAACGACAACAACAACGAUACAUCCCCAACCCACAGAGCAAGGACAUGCACAAUGCUGGGUUUUAUCCCUCUGUUAAAACAAAUAAAACUAAAAAUCAGAACCGAAGAAAAUGCUUGCAGAGUUCUCUGUCAGUUCUGUAGCCAUUUACAGACCACCACCACCAAGGGCACCUCGUUGAGAAGACUGAAACAUCCCCGCCUUGUAAUUGUAUCACAGUUGUGAAAAUCAAAUUCAUUUCCAAACAUUUCCCUAAGAUGUUCAAAGCCUGGACCGCCAAAGCAAAAUGCACCAAGACCCCAGCAUUUCAUCUAGCUGUCUAAAAUAUUAAACUUUUCAUAUAUGCGGGAUUGGAAUGCGUCCUUCUCCAAGUGCACUUCAGAGCGCUCGCCCCACAUCAGCAACGGUAGUUCCGGCAUACUGCAAUUUCCCAAUCCCCACGGGAAUGCCUGCAAGGAUUCCAUCUGAAGGUUUAGGCGACAUCCAAAGUUAGUGGGCGCUUCAGCAGCUGAAAUAGAAAUGCUGUUCAGCUCCCCGGCCAUAUUUUCCAGACCGUGCCUCUAAUAAGAACAGUACACUUGCAUGCGUUCCUGAACUACAAUGGGACAGGACAGUGAUUAAAGUAGUGAAGCAUAGCGCAGUAUCUCUCUGGUAACAUACAUUGUGUAUGGAAUGGAGCGUAAAGGGAAAUGAGAUGAACUUUGUACAGCUCACCUUAAUUAAGUCGUGUCCCGAUGGAAAUUAAUUUGAAUGUUAAAAGCAUGUAUAUACAUUGUCUGAGCUUUCUCUCAGUGCCCACUUCAAGCCACAUGCACUGUCCCGGGUCUGUCAGUUCCGGGUGUUCACAUACAUUCUCCUAUUCAUCCAGCUGGCCGUCACUUUGUAUCUUGCAAGUGGUUAACAGCAAAUUCUAUGGACAGUAAGAGUUACAUCUUAGCACCUUUCCAAACAUCUGCCAGCCAGCACACCACGCUUCAGCCCGACCACAGGCUUCUGAAUUUCACACUGUUUCAGGAGGUUUUAUUAAAUUAAGACUGUGGAGCACCAUGUUUUUGCCGGCCCCUAGUUUUACUUUGGUUUGUAGUCCCCCU
rnacentral:lncRNA from 1 species